UUGAUUUAGACGGUAGGCACUGAAAUAACGAUAUUGGGUCGGGCCAGCUUUUAUAUAUCAAUUACAGUUGACACGGACUGGUUCAAUACCACACUGAAUGCAAAAACGUCAGUCUUUGUCUCGUUCACAGGCAGGCAGAGAGAGGAAGUUAGAGAGAGCGGGAAAGCUUGGAACUUCAUCGGAGAGAGAGAGAGAGAGAGAGCGGGAAAGCUUGGAACUUCAUCGGGGAGAGAGAGAGAAAGAUAGCGGGGAAAGCUUGGAACUUCAUCGGAGAGAGACAGAGAGCUGCAUUGAUAUAUGCUUUGGGUUCGGUCAGUUCAAGAAAUUGUAAUAGAUUAUAGAUGAACUGGACAAGGUUUUCCACCAAGAUUUACAAAACUUGUGCAGCAGAUUCCAAAAGUGGAUCCUCAUUCUGUCAUACUAGAAAACCCCGUCACAAUGCUACUGACAACAUUGAAAGCAUUCCGGUCCGCUGUGGUUUUCAGUCUCAAAGAGGAAACUUACCUGCUACUUCAUGGCCUCGGGAUGGAUGCUGUGUUGCUACUGUGGCGAAAGAUUUUCAAGAUUCUGAGCAGAGGUUGAUGGGAUCAAGAAAUGUAAUUUCGAGGUUUAAUGGAAGUUCUGUGUGGUCAAAGCAGAGCCUGGUAUCUUUGUCUCGUCAGUUUGGACACAAGGCUGGUAGUGGUGGUGAUCCUGAAUUGACUAGGGACUUCUUUAUACAGCUCUGGGUUGCAGAUAGGAUAAUGGAACAGUCUAAAAGAAACGGAAGAGGGAAAGCUGUGAAGUAUAGUAAACAAACACCGUACCACUAUUCAUCCUACGGAUGGUAUUCAAGUGCACCUUUCAGUCAAGCAGCCUCUUUUGAUGAGGAUGAACCUGAUAUGAAGCAACCGCCUCCAAGUCAAUCCGUCUCUGGAUAUCUGAAGCCAGAAUCUCCAGAAGAGGCCCAGGUGAUGCCUCUUCUUGCUAGAUCAAAUCUGCUGAUUACUAGGGAGAUAGAGUGGGUAAAUCUUACUCUUGGAUUUGAACAGGAAAAUCGGUAUGCAAUAGUGGAUGUGUGCUACCCAGAGUCACCUGUUGGUUUUAUUCGUGAGAAGAGUCAGUUUAUUGGUAGACAGUUGCUUCGCCUCAGGCGCCCUUUUGUUGCUUGUGUAACUGAUGCCAUGGGUAAUGAGCUCUUUAGGGUUCGUAGGCCUUUUUGGUGGAUAACCAGCUCAAUUUAUGUAGAGAUCAACAGUAAGGAAAUCGGUGUGGUUCACAGACGAUGGCAUCUUUGGAGGAGGGUGUAUGAUUUGUACCUAGGGAAUAAGCAGUUUGCAGUUGUAGAAAAUCCUGGCUUCUGGCAUUGGACUUUUACUUUGAAGGACAUUGACAGCAAAGUUUUGGCUGAGAUUGAUCGUGAAUGGAGGGGUUUUGGCUUUGAGAUUUUCACUGAUGCGGGGCAAUAUGUGAUUCGGUUUGGGAGUUCUGAUGCCAGCUCCAUUACUGGUUCUGCUAGAUUGAUUAAUGAGUUGGAAGUCAUUCGACCACUGACUCUGUUAGAGAGAGCUGUAACUGUUGCUCUUGCUGUAUCGUUGGACAACGACUAUUUCUCAAGACACGGUGGAUGGUAAGCCAAAAUCCAAAUGACUGUUUCUUAAGAAACCAUGGCUAGAAUGUUCAUUGUUAGCUCAGACCUUUGUGUGUAUCUGUACAUCCUGACUUGGUACGAAUCACUGGUGUGUGCCAUAAAAAUUUAGAAAGUCCCGAUCUAUAGACUCAGGGGAUCGCCAUUUUAUGAAGUAGGAGAAUAGGUGUGGCUGGCUGUAUGCAGACGAAAAGAAGAAAAUCCAUAUGGUUAUGUGUUCGUUCGUAAUAUUCGAGGGCUCUCAAAGACGAGGCCUUUCCGGCUGCUUUAGACGGGCGACUCCGCGGGUGAUACGCUGUUUUUCUUGUUUGUUUAUGAAGACAUUAUUGUACUUGAAGUCGUGAAGUGCCUGUCUGUGAUGAUGAAUGAGGAAGAAUUGUAAAUUGGCAUAUCUUGGUGUUCAAAGUGGAUCAUUUUU